rnacentral:rRNA from 1 species
UACGUAGGGUGCGAGCGUUAAUCGGAAUUACUGGGCGUAAAGCGUGCGCAGGCGGUUUUGUAAGCCAGAUGUGAAAGCCCCGGGCUCAACCUGGGAAUGGCAUUUGGGACUGCAAGGCUGGAGUUUGGCAGAGGAGACUGGAAUUCCUGGUGUAGCAGUGAAAUGCGUAGAUAUCAGGAGGAAUACCGAGUGGCGAAGGCAGGUCUCUGGGCUAUAAACUGACGCUCGAUG